UACGUAGGGGGCAAGCGUUGUCCGGAAUCAUUGGGCGUAAAGGGCGCGUAGGUGGCUUCUUAAGCGUGCGGUGAAAGCCUGGGGCUCAACCCCGGGUCGGCCGUGCGAACUGGGGGGCUGGAGCACUGUAGAGGCAGGCGGAAUUCCGGGUGUAGCGGUGGAAUGCGUAGAGAUCCGGAAGAACACCGGUGGCGAAGGCGGCCUGGGGGGAAGUUGAUGACACUGAGGCGCGACAGCGUGGGGAGCAAACAGG
rnacentral:rRNA from 1 species